GACGAACGCUGGCGGCGUGCCUAAUACAUGCAAGUAGGACACAGUUGCGAACGGGUGAGUAACGCGUAGGUAACUACCUAUUAGAGGGGGAUAACUAUUGGAAACGAUAGCUAAUACCGCAUACUAGUAGCUGGACCUGCGUUGUAUUAGCUAGUAGGUAGGGUAAUGGCCUACCUAGGCAACGAUAAAUAGCCGACCUGGGAGGGUGAUGGGACAAACUGGGAAGGAGACCCGGCCCCGACUCCUAAGGGAGGCAGCAGGAGGGAAUCUUCGGCAAUGGGGGGAACCCUGAACGAGCAACGCCGCGUGAGUGAAGAAGGGUUUCGGAUCGUAAAGCUCUGUUGUUAAGGAAGCGGUACUUAACCAGAAAGGGACGGCUAACUACGUGCCAGCCGCCGCGGUAAUUC
rnacentral:rRNA from 1 species